rnacentral:rRNA from 1 species
GGUAAAACCAGCACCUCAAGUGGUCAGGAUGAUUAUUGGGCCUAAAGCAUCCGUAGCCGGCUCUGUAAGUUUUCGGUUAAAUCUGUACGCUCAACGUACAGGCUGCCGGGAAUACUGCAGAGCUAGGGAGUGGGAGAGGUAGACGGUACUCGGUAGGAAGGGGUAAAAUCCUUUGAUCUAUUGAUGACCACCUGUGGCGAAGGCGGUCUACCAGAACACGUCCGACGGUGAGGGAUGAAAGCUGGGGGAGCAAACCGGAUUAGAUACCCGGGUAGUCCCAGCUGUAAACUAUGCAAACUCAGUGAUGCAUUGGCUUGUGGCCAAUGCAGUGCUGCAGGGAAGCCGUUAAGUUUGCCGCCUGGGAAGUACGUACGCAAGUAUGAAACUUAGGUAAAACCAGCACCUCAAGUGGUCAGGAUGAUUAUUGGGCCUAAAGCAUCCGUAGCCGGCUCUGUAAGUUUUCGGUUAAAUCUGUACGCUCAACGUACAGGCUGCCGGGAAUACUGCAGAGCUAGGGAGUGGGAGAGGUAGACGGUACUCGGUAGGAAGGGGUAAAAUCCUUUGAUCUAUUGAUGACCACCUGUGGCGAAGGCGGUCUACCAGAACACGUCCGACGGUGAGGGAUGAAAGCUGGGGGAGCAAACCGGAUUAGAUACCCGGGUAGUCCCAGCUGUAAACUAUGCAAACUCAGUGAUGCAUUGGCUUGUGGCCAAUGCAGUGCUGCAGGGAAGCCGUUAAGUUUGCCGCCUGGGAAGUACGUACGCAAGUAUGAAACUUA